rnacentral:rRNA from 1 species
AGAGUUUGAUCCUGGCUCAGAACAAACGCUGGCGGCGUGCCUAAUACAUGCAAGUCGAACGAGGAAGCACCUUCGGGUGUUGUACUAGUGGCGUACGGGUGAGUAACGCGUGGAUAAUCUUCCUUAAGGUGGGGAAUAACCAGUCGAAAGAUUGGCUAAUACCGCAUAAGACCACAACGGUUUCGGCCGAAGAGGUUAAAGGCGAAAGUCGCCUUAAGAUGAGUCUGCGCCCGAUUAGCUAGUUGGUGAGGUAAGAGCUCACCAAGGCGACGAUCGGUAGCUGGUCUGAGAGGUUGGCCGGCCACAUUGGGACUGAGACACUGCCCAGACUCCUACGGGGGGCUGCAGUAACGAAUCUUCCGCAAUGCACGCAAGUGUGACGGAGCGACGCCGCGUGUGGGACGAAGUCCUUCGGGAUGUAAACCACUGUCAGGGGUUACCAAGUUCUGAGGAGCCCCAGAGGAAGGCACGGCUAACUCUGUGCCAGCAGCCGCGGUAAGACAGAGGUGCCGAGCGUUAGGCGGAAUCACUGGGCUUAAAGCGUGUGUAGGCGGACCGUUAAGUACCUUGUGAAAUCCCACGGCUCAACCGUGGAACUGCUGGGUAUACUGGCGGUCUUGAGCCACCUAGGGGCGAGCGGAACAAGCGGUGGAGCGGUGAAAUGCGUAGAUAUCGCUUGGAACGCCAACGGUGAAAACAGCUCGCUGGGGGUGUGCUGACGCUGAGACACGAAAGCCAGGGGAGCGAACGGGAUUAGAUACCCCCGUAGUCC